rnacentral:tRNA from 2 species
GGCCCGGUGGCGGAGUGUUUACGCAAAGGCCGUGCAAGGACUUUACCCUGGUUCAAUUCCAGGCCGGGCCUCCA